rnacentral:lncRNA from 1 species
AUGAGCGCACAAAGUCCGGAUGCCUCCCGCGGCCGCGGCGGCAACGGCAGGAAGGGGCGCGAGGCACAGCGCGCGCCCGGUGCCAGGGGCACCGCUGCCCAGAUCCAGGACCCGGCCUCCCCCUUGGGCUCCGCCUCGUCCUCCACGUCCCGGUGGAGCGUCCAUUCUGAGUGGCGGACCGUCUCCCGUCUGUUUUCCAGCAACCUGUCGAUCGCGCCCACAUCAGAUGCGGCAUACUCCGGGAGCUCCAGCACGCCCUCCCAAACCGGCCCCAGUCCUAGCCCGAGGACUCACACGGACUCCCAGAUUGGUCUCUACGGCUCUGGAGCCCACGGCCUGAGCGACUGGAUCCUCAUGUCUGCCGCCCGCACGAGCACCCCCGAGGGGGCCGCCCCAGCCUCUAACCCGGACUCCCGCAACCCCCGGGUAUCAGUACGAGGAUCUGUCCCGCCCUCAGGCUCCCCCAGAUUGUUAGUACUUGAAUCCGCCCCACCCUCAUUGCCCAGCUCCCCCCAGCUAUCAGGACUCUCUACACCCCCAGGACCUCCUGCACCCAAUAACUCGCCCCGAGUGUCAUUACAGGAGUCUAUCCAGUUCUCAAUACCCCGCUCCACCGAGGUAUCUGUAGAAGGAGCUUUCCCAUUCUCGGGCGCCCCAGCAUCGGUACGAGGAUCCGUCCCGCCCGCAAUGCCACGCUCUCCCUGGAGUUUAGAACAAGCAUCUUUCCCAUUCUUUGGCUCCUCCCGAGUGUCAGUGCUAGGGUCCCUCCCACCCUCAGUGCUAAGCUCCCCCUGGAGUUCGGUACAAGGAUCUUUCCCAUUCUUGGGCUCCUCCGAAUCAUCGGUACUAGAGUCCGGCCCGCCCUCAGUGCUAAGCUCCCCCUGGAGUUCAGAACAAUCAUCUUUCCCGUUCUUGGGCUCCUCCCAAGUGUCGGUACUAGGGUCCGCCCCGCCAUCAGUGCCAAGCUCCCCCUGGAGUUCGGUACAAGGCUCUUUCCCGUUCUCGGGCUCCUCCCAACCGUCGGUACUAGAGUCCACCCCGUUGUUAGCGCUCAGCUCCUCCCUGGAUUCGGUACUGGGACCUCCUACACCCAAUAACUCCCCGCGGGUGUCAUUACAAGAGUCUGCUCCGCCCUCACUGACCCGCUCCUCCUGGGUAUCGGUGGAAGAAUUGGCUCCGCCCCCAUUCUCCCCCCGAGAGUCGCUAGAAGGGCCCGCCCCGCCAUUGGCGGGCCCCACUCCUAUACCCACGCCUGGGGAGAGUCUCAGCCCGAUCAUGGCGAGUCAGGAGAAGGCGAGUAUGGCAGGCCACAUGUUCGACGUAGUCGUGAUAGGAGGCGGCAUCUCAGGUUAG